UACGUAUAGAUAGUUUCAAAACAACACAGUAGAUAUAUCUGAACCCUCAAAAAUUUGUUAAUGAUGGCGGCAGAUAAAACCUUGAAAAUUUUGAACUGAAGUUGAAAAGAGAUUGAAUAGAUGGAUGUGAGCGAGAGCGAAGCAAUAUUUGAUUCAUUAGAUCUGAACCCUCAGCUGUUCAUCAACAGCUCCUUGAACAUUGUGGAUCAAUUAGUCGAAAGCGCCUUCGAUUAUCUUCAUCAGGAGGCAUCAACUCAACUCAAGAUCGACGGUUCCGAAGAAGAUUUAAUCAAGGGUUUGGAUUAUAUCAGAAAUGCAAUUCAAUCUGCCCUGGACAAACGGUUCUCUAUGUGGGAAAAGUUUUGUUUCCUUCAUAUUUUUGCGCUUCCGGAAGGAUUUUCGCUACCGAAAGAUGAUGAAGCAUCUGGCAGUGACUUGAUGGAUGUGGAAGAUGUUGGUAAUUCUGAUCUUGACGAACAGCUUGCUUCCUUGAAAGCAAAACUUUUAUCGGCUGAACAGGAGUCUGCUGAUUUGAAAACAGAGAUCCAAGCAUUGGAGAGACAAUCUGUUAUCGGUAACCAAGAAGCAGCUUCUGUUAAUGAAUUAAUGAAGUUGUCUGAACUAUUGCAUGAGAAUGAUGCAUUUGAAGAUAUGCAAAAACUUGCAAAAGAAUUACGUACAAAGAUGGAGAAGCUAAAGAUGGAAAGGGGUGUUGGAAUUCAACGUGCGAGGUUGGAGAGACUGGGUUUACACAGUGGAGAUUUGUUAAGAGUGAUUGGUGGAAAUGACCUCUCCAAUUCAAAGCAAGAAGAAUAUGAAAACUUUUUGGCAUCUUUCAACACCCGGUGAACUUUGGUUGAUUAUUGACAGGCUAUGAAGUUCUACAAGUGCGUUUUAGCAAUAUUUCACACUGGACAUUGAGAUUGAAAUGAAUACCACAAAAGAUUAUCAUACAACUAGGAUUGCUGCUUAGCCUAGUAGAACAUUGAGCCCACCUUAUAAGCCCACAUGAGAUUUGCACUCAACAUAUUUGGAUAAAGGGAGUCGCUCGUCAAGCUUUAUGUAAGGCAUCAAUGUGUUUAGGGUCUAAAAAAUACAUCAUCUAUUUUAGUAGCUCAUUAGGAAUGUGUACUCAUUUGUAUUGUGCAUCUUCUUAGUUAUUCAUGGCUUACAUGCUUUUAACAGCCAAACUAUAGUGUUUUCUUGGUGAGUGAGCACUUGCAAGGAGAUAAGGUUGAAUUUUUAUCUAUUUAAGGAGAUGAUCAUGCUUUAAGUAGGCGUGUUGUUGUGAAUAUAAAUAGAUCAAUAGUUUUCUAUA